CAAUUAGCCUUUGUCCAACGGACAUUUUCACAAACGGCUCUCAGGAUUGUUUUGAUUCCGUUUCCCGUUUGUACAGUAUAUAUAAAAAUAUAUAUUUUAAAUGGUGAGAGGAAUGCUGCUGAUGCUGAACACAGUCGGGAUACAAAUAAUUAAUCUUCAGAGAAACUACAGAGAACCGGCGGAGAAACCAAAGACUACCUGUGAGCUUCGGGACGCAGAGAAUUAACACACACACACACACACACACACACACACACACACACACACACACACACACACACACUUUUAUGGCCAAGUUUUUCGCAGAACUGCUGGCGUGUACUCUGCCAGAGAAAGGCACCUCUCCUGUGUUUGAGUGCAGAAGUCAACCCCAUGUCGGAUUGAGGCAUGUCUCCAAACAGCGGCCUGCCAUCUUUGGGACCUUGUUUGACAAGCCAAUGUGUGACCACAACUCAGACAAAAUGCCUCAAACUCCACCAUUUCCAGCGAUGUUUGGGUCCAGUGGCUACAACAACAACCUCUAUCAGACAAAAGAGGAGGACUACAGUGGCUUAUAUUACCAUGACAACAACCUGGUGUCAGGGUCUCUGGAGGCUCUCAUUCAGCACUUAGUCCCCACUGUGGCUUACUAUCCUGAUAGGACAUACAUCUUCACAUUCUUGCUCAAUUCCCGUCUUUUCAUUCAUCCACAUGAGCUUAUGUCUAAAGUUUGCCAUGUGUGCACAGACCAUCAGAAGCUCAGUGAUCCUUCAGCAGACAAGAUGAGAAUCAGAAAACUUGCUCCCAAGAUCUUGCAGUUGCUGACAGAAUGGACAGAGACGUUUCCGUAUGAUUUCCGGGAUGAGAGGAUGAUGAGGAGUUUAAAAGAGUUAACACUACGAUUGAGUACUGGAGAUGAGGUCUAUCGGAAAGCGGUGCAGCAGAUGACACAAACCCUGAUCCGUAAACUCGCUACACACAGUCAGUAUGAAGAAAACUUGGCCAAGAUCAACUCCACAGUGACAGACAGACUAACGGUUUUGAAAACCAAGCCACAGUCUAUCCAGAGAGACAUCCUGACCAUCUGUAGUGACACUUUUACUCUGGCUCAACAGCUAACACAUAUUGAGUUGGAGAGACUGAGUUACAUAGGACCCGAAGAAUUUGUCCAGGCAUUUGUUCAGAAAAACUCUCAUGACAAAAAAAAGAGUUUUACUGAUCGCAAGAAAGCCAGCAACCUCGAGGCGUACAUGGAGUGGUUCAACAGGCUGAGCUUCCUGGUAGCCACUGAGAUAUGCAUGCCUGUGAAGAAAAAGCACCGAGCUCGCGUCAUCGAGUUCUUCAUCGAUGUGGCACGAGAAUGCUUCAAUAUUGGCAACUUCAACUCUCUCAUGGCUAUCAUUUCUGGCAUGAAUAUGAGUCCGGUGUCGCGGUUAAAAAAGACCUGGGCCAAGGUCAAAACGGCCAAGUUUGAUAUUCUGGAGCACCAGAUGGACCCGUCCAGCAACUUCUACAACUACAGAACAGCGCUACGUGGGGCCACACAGAGAUCUAUAACUGCACAUACCAGCAGAGAAAAGAUUGUCAUUCCAUUCUUCAGCCUCUUAAUCAAGGACAUUGUCUUCCUCAAUGAAAGAUGUGCUAACCAGCUCCCAAAUGGACAUGUCAAUUUUGAGAAAUUCUGGGACCUGGCCAAGCAGGUGGACGAGUUCAUGACCUGGAAGAAAGUGGAGUGCCCGUUUGAGAAGGACCGCAAGAUUCAGCAGUACCUCCUCACCGCUCCCAUCUUUAGCGAGGAUGCUUUGUGUGUGGCAUCCUAUGAGAGCGAGGGACCGGAGAACAACACGGAGAAAGACACAUGGAAAUCUCUGAGAGUCUGGCGAAGGAGAGUACACUUGGCUGUGUAUGCAGUCACGUUUCCUAACAGACGUCCAAACCAUAGAGGGAGGGGGUGACAGAGAGAGGGUGAUGGAUAGAGAGAGGCAUUUUCCCCACUGCGACAGGAUCUGUCACAUUACGGGAUUGUGUGUGGAUCAGCAGAACGUGCUCAGGCCCGGGCGGAGGCAAGAACACAACUGUCAGUGCUUUAGUGGGAGGACAUUAACUCUGUAGUGGACAGGGAAGAAGAGAUAAGACACAGGAAGUGGGACACAUCAGCUGGUGUCAGGUCCUCGCUGCUAAACAGGAUGUAGUUCUACUGAAGAACCCAAGUCCAAGUCAGUGAUGUUAAGCUUCUGGCAAUCCAGCUUUGUCCCCAUUUUGUCCCCUCAAGAAGUGAGAAGUAGCCCUGAUUUUUAAGGGAAACGACAAUCACUACUUUGGAAGUGUUUUUGUGUGUAUGAUGGAGACCUGGAUAUUUCAGAAUGGUUUUUCAUCACUUUGUAAAGAUUAUCACUUGUUGUACCUUUAAAAAGACUUGGUUUUUUGGGUUGUUGUUUUUUUUGUAGGGGAACCCCCUGCUGAGUUCUUGAUAUACCUUGGCUGCAACUCAUGAUGCAGUCUCAUGAGGUAUUUGGAUGCUUUUGAUGCAAGUAGUCUUCUGAGUUUGCUGCUGGUUGGCCAACUCUGUGAACAGAUUAUUUAAAACAAAACAAAGAAGACUAAAACCAGCAUUGUGUGUACUUUGUACCAGUACUGCAUAUUGAUAGUAUACAAUAUUAAUUUAAGUAGAGAUUUAUUUUGUCCUUUUUUUCUGUUGUAUUUGUUGAUAUGGUUUUUUAUACCCAAGGUAUUUGUAAUGUGUUUUUCUCACAUGUGUGAGCAACCACCAAGUGUGGACGAGAGCGGCUCGUUAAGGUCUGCUGAAUGCACUGGGUGCGUUCAAGAAUAAAAAUGUCACUUUCUGUUUGUGAUAACAUGUUGUUUUUGUGAUAUUCUGUAACAUUCAUAUGACCUUUUAUCUGGGCUUUGCCCUGUUCAUAUGGAUUGAUGAAGAAGCUUCGAAGACAUACAUUCCUUAUUAGCAGUGUUAAUAUAGAUACACAAUUGUCCACACAUACGUUUAGACGACUGUGUUCCACUGAAACACAUCACCGACACGCCCAUCUACCUCCUGUCCACACCAGCUAGUUCUGCUAUUAUGCUUUUAUGUGGCCCCCUGGUGGUCAUGCCAUUAAUAAAUGAGAAUUAAAUUAAUACAUAACACACAACUACACACACAUUAGUGUAGGACUAAUUCAUCUGCAUGAUGUCAUUUUACACAGUUACAUGGUUUUCCGCAUCCGCAGAUAAAUUAUUAUCUUUAAGAAUAGCUUGUUCCCAUUCCCUAAGUAUAGGGUGUUGUCAUUUUUCCUUUUAAAUAUUACGUGAUUUAUUAUUAUUAUUAUUAUUUUUUUUACAAGUUUUGUUACAUCUUGUUCUGUGUUAUUUUGUACAUAACCAUUUUGUAGUUACCAGAUAUUGAUCUAAUAUUUUAUAUUGAUCAACUUUGUAUGAGGCAGACUCAUUUUCAGGGCACUAGCAUACUACAUGAAGUUAAAGACGUUAAUAUUGACUGAUGUCUAGUUUACCAUGUAAAUUUUUUUUUCUUCUGCAAAUAGUGUUUUUCUCUCCUGUGCACACUGUUCUGUAUUUUCAUUGUUUGGAUGUAUAAAAGAACCCCUGAAAUAGUUUCAAUAAAAGAAUCCUUAUGUAAACAUG